GCUCAAGUGACAUUGACAUUGAGGAGAAACCAUGCAAUUAUCCAGCUGUACUGACACCAUUAGGGGAGCUUGUUCUGAAUCACAGGAAAAUACUCAGGAAGGAUAACAGAAAAGGCACUGUGUACAUCCAUGUGGCCAUUGUUGUUCUUGUUUCACAACCAAAGCAAUCCGGAGGUGGGUGGACGAACACACAGAGCUCAUUGCUGAACUACUGAAGUUGGCAAUAAAUGCUUCUACAGACACAAGCUUUGAGGCCACAAGGUUGAAUCCAAGAGUCAUCCUCCAUCCCUGGACCAGAGACAUCCCCAUGAACCUUCAUCCUUUGCCUGGUACCAGCUGUGGGGUGGGAUGGGUAAGAGCUGCACAGAAGGUGUUUCCUAACCAAAACUUGCAUUCUCUCCAGGAUAAAUGGGGAGG